rnacentral:lncRNA from 1 species
UUUUGGUCGUGCCAAGUGUGAUGACGGUAUUGUUCAUCAUUAUAUGCGUCUACCUCAUUAAAAGAGCACCGAGGAAGAGAGACAAGAAGGACACCGACAUAGAGAGCCAAUCGAGGGUGGCUGCGAACAUUCCAAAGAUGUUCACCUACAAGGAGUUAGCAAAGGCCACUCGCAACUUCAGCAAGGAGAAUCUGCUCGGGACUGGCGGUUUCGGAAGCGUUUACAAAGGGGUGAUCUUAGAUCCUCCGGUCGAAAUAGCCGUGAAAAAGAUCUCGGCAACCUCGAAACAAGGUGUGUUUCUUAAUUGUAUUAUGUCCUUUUAGUACAUUUUUCUUGAACACGGUUCCCUAGAAAAGAUCUAAACAUUACAAAAACAUAGUGGUGAAGCAAUUUUAGCACAUUUUACUUUCAUUUUUAUUCAUCGCCAAUUGUUGUGAAUAAAGUGGGAGAGAGAUAUUCUAUAUAUUUUCAAUAUAUCUAGAAUAAAGUACUUGGAGUCUAUUUAUAGGCUUGAAUAGACGACAACCUAGGGAAAUCAAAUGGGAUAUGCAUAAUCAUAAUAAUUAAAGAAAAUGUCCUUAAUAUCUCUAGAAGAUACCUAAAUAUCUCUAAUACUCCCCCUUACGUUAGAGCAUAGAUAAUAGUCACAUCUAGCUUAUUAUAAAUAUAUUCUAUCCUCCCAUUACCUAGAGGUAUAGUAAAUAUGUCUAAAAGUUGUUCACCAGUCGUAAUGUGACUUGGAAGGAUCACUCCACUCUAUAGCUUCUCUUUUAUAUAAUGACAAUCGAUCUCAAUGUGUUUUGUUCUCUCAUGAAACAUAGGAUUGGAAGUUAUAUAUGCUGCAACCUUGUUGUCACACCACAGAGGCAUAGAAACUUAAGUUUUAAAGCCUAAUUCAAUCAAUAGCUACUAAAUCUACACUAAUUCAUGUGUCACUUGUGUCAUGACUCUAUAUUCUGAUUUAGCACUUGAGCGGACAAUAGCAUUCUAUUGCUUACUCUUCCAUGAUACCAGAUUUCCUUUAACCAAGGUACAAUAGCUAGUGGUCAAUCUCCUAUUAUCUGGAGACCUUGUCCAAUCAACAUCAGAGAAUCCUAAAACUCUGUUAUGGCCAUGAUUUUGGUAAACAAUUCAUUUCCUCAGAAUCUUCUUCAAGUGCCUCAAAAUCCAAUGAUUGCAUCCCAGUGAAAUGUACAAGGAGAAGACAAAAAUUAGUUUACCACACUAAUUGGAAAUGCAAUGUCUGGUUGAGCAAUUGUGAGAUAAUUUAGCUUGCCUACCGGUUUUUAAUUAUCUCUCAAGAUUAUCAAGAAUCUCUCUUCCCUUAGCAACCAGAUUAUCUCCUUGUUCCAUUGGUGAAUCAAGAGGUGUUGAUCCCAACAUGCCUAUCUUAGUGAGCAAAUUAUGGGCAUGCUCUCACUAUAAUAGAACAAUACCUUUUUGUGACCGUGUCACUUCAAUUUUUAGGAAAUACUUCAACUUGCCCAAGUCCUUAGUCUGAAACUAUUGCUAAGGGUAGAGCUUUAGUUCAACUAUACUAACCAAGUCAUCUCCUGUGACAAUAAUAAUAUCAUCAAUAUAUGCAAUUAAGAAUAACUUGCCUCCCCUUGAUUGUUUAUAAAAGGAGUAAUCAUUUCCAUAUCUAAACAUUCCAAAAGAAUGUUAACUUCAGAAAAUCUUCCAAACCACGCCCGUGGGGACUGCUUCAAAGCUUGCGGCUUUUUUAACUUGUAAACUAGUUUCCCAAAUGUCCCCUAAGCAACAAAUCCCAGAGGUUGCUCCAUAUACAUCUUCUCAUAUUCAAUAAAGCAUUCUCGACAUCAAGCUGAAAUAAUGGCCAGUUAUAUGUGGCUACAAGAGAGAUCAAAAUACCAACAUAUGUGAACUUGGCAAUAGGAGAAAAUGUGUUUAACUAGUCAACCCCACAGAACUGAGCAUACCCUUUCACAACAAUUCUUUCUUUUAAAUGAGCAAGAGAACCAUCGGGAAUGACUUUGAUAGCAUACACCCAUCGACAACCAAUAUCAAUGUUACCUAAAGGAAGAGGUGCCAAGUCUCAAGUUUGAUUAACUUGUAAGGCUUUUAAUUCUUCUACCAUAGCUAAUCUAUAGCCAAAGUCAUGUAAUGCCCCGGCUGCUAGCUUAAGGACAAAAUAUUGUUCAAUAGUAGAUAAAAAGGAUUGAAAGAAAAGAGACACGGAAGAGUAUGAACUAAAGUUUGCAAUAGAAUAUUAAGUACAAGCAUGAUAUCUUUGUGAUGAAGAAUAUGGGUCAGCUAAUGGCAAAUCUAGAGCUAAAGAUGACAUAGUAGUGGUGGGAGGAAGGGAGGAGCAGUAGCUACUUGAGGAUGCCGAGUAUAGACCUUGAGAGAAGUUGGUUCUUGUGUAAAUAUUAGGGAAAUUGGUGGAUCAAUUGAUCAAAUGGUGAUCACAUGUAAGAUUUCAUCCACCUCAAAAAUAGUAAUUGAAACAUCAUGAUAUGCUAUAGAUUCAAAGAAGAAAACGUAGUACGAGAAUAACAUAGAAACGUUAGAAGAAUAACAAUGGUAUCCCUUUUAAGUACGAGAAUAACAUAGAAACGUAUACUUGAUGGCCCUAGGAUCAAAUUUUAAUACUCUAGGUCAAUGACCAUGGAAAAAACAGACACAACAAAAAAUACAGGGUGGUAAAAAAAAUAAUGAUUGAUUGAGAAAAAAAUUAGAAAAUGGAAUACAACAUUGUAAAACAUAAGAAGGAAUGUGAUUAAUUAGAUAGUAUGCAAUCGGGGCAACAUAAAAAAAGAAAAAGAAAAAAGGUUUUACAAAUCAUCAUCUCAAAUAACAUGGACCUAGUGACUUCCAAUAAUGCCUAUUCUUUCUUUCAGUUACAUCAUUUUUUUGUGGUGUAUCGUAACAGGAAGAUUCACGGAUCAUACAAGGUUGAGUCAUAAAGUCAAAAAAGAUGCGAAAAAGUACUCUUAGCAUUAUCAAAACAAAAAAAUUUAACAUGUAUACCAAACUGAUUAUGAAUUUCGGAAUUAAAAGCACAAAAUAUAUAAAACAAUUCUAAAUGACUUUCCAUUAGAUGUAGCCAAGUGACUUUGGAAUAGUCAUCAACAAAAGUAACAAAGUAUCUAAAAUCUACCAAAUAUCUAAAUGAACUAACGAAAAAGGAGGCAUUACUAGCUUAAUGACUCAUGGCAAGUAACUAACACGAUGCAAUUUGCCAAGUUGACAUAACUCACACUCUAAACUAGAAAGAGAUUGCAAACUAGAAUCUAAAUUUUGUAGAUUGUGCAACCAAGGAUGGCCAAGACAACAAUGGAUUUGAUGUAAGGAAGCAACACUAGAACAUGAAAUAGAUGAAUCAUUUUCAAGCACAUACAACCCCCCACCUCAUGUCCUCUACCAAUCAUCAUCUUUGUAGCCAAAUCUUGAAAAAUACAAGAAUCAAUGUAGAGUGUCACUGAACACUGAAAGUUUUUGGUUAAUAUUCUAAUAGCCAUAAGUUUAAACAGAAAUUGUGGGAGAUAAAGCAUUGAGGAUAAUGUCAAUGAAGAAGUUGGAUGAAUUCCAUCAAGCCCCUUAACUUGUGUAGAUGAAUCAUUAGCUAGGGUUACAAUGGAUGAUGAUGGAGUAAGAGACAAAAAAAAAUAAAAUGAAAGACCUAACAAGGGACAAGAUAUAGCUAAAAGGCAUGUGGUAGUAUUACCUGUUCGUACAAGAGUAGCAGUGAAAGAAUUAGGCUGUGUUGAAACUAGUUGUAUCGAGCAAAUUCCUUAUUAGACAUAGCCAUCGCGUUGCCUUUUGAAAACUAUGGCAAAGAAGAAGAGUCGGUACUAGAUGCAACAUUUGCAAAAUGUAGUUGCUACCUUAGUCUCCCAUGUAACUUGUAACAAGAUUUUUGAAUGCGACUAGUUUUGCCACAUUAAUGACAAGUCCAAAUGGCCCUUGAGCUAUUAGUGGAAUUGUGGGACUGUCCAUAAAGCUCUUCUUGGCCUUAGCUGCUUCUUGUUCCUACGCCUUAGCCAACACCAUGGCCACCACAAGCGUUAUGUCCUCUACGUGUUCCUUUAUCACUCCCACUACCGCCACUGAUUCAAGACUAGGACACGAGAGCUAUCUACCAUAGACAUAGUGUCCUCAGAAGACUCAUGAGAUACCCAAAGAACUCAAGCAAAGGUAUUUGUGAGUGAUGCAAUAGUCUCUCUCUCCUAAGAAUUUGGAAACUCAUAGUUUCUAGUUUGGACCGAAACCUCCUUAAAUCCCAGUACAACCAACUAUUCUCUCUGAAGUUGCUUUUUCUCAGCAGUGGUUGAAAUAGGGAGAAGAUGAUUUAACUCCUCAUACAUCUUCUUAAAGUUAGCAAAGUACUGUGUAACGGAACACCCCUUCUUAUUAGAUCGGUAAAACUACUGGAAUAGCUAAUAAAUUCGUGAAAGGUUAUUUUGGCCAGAAUGCAAUAUAGCCAAAUGCUGCCAUAAUUAUUUAAUUGUGUCAACAUGAGUUACGAGAUCAACUAUAUUACUCUUCAUAGAAUUCAGCAUCUGACCAAGAAUACGUGAAUCAAUUGCAUUUUAAGUUGCAUCAAUACUAAGUUUAGGCUUAGUCAAGUGUGUAAGUUGAUUAUGUCUAUCGAAGUUAGCUUCACAAUUUUCUUUUAUUGUUGAAAGUUGGCACUAUCCUCAAGCUUCUUAUUGAUAAUUCGAUUAGAAGAAGAGGAAAUCAACUUGGUCAUCAUAGUAUUACUCUUCUCAAAAUCACCCAUUGUUUAAUAAGAAUAAGAAAAUUACCACAAUAUUUUCCUUCAAGCAACUCAACUUCAAUAAAUCAACACAACUGAGAAAUAUCAUCAAUGGACCGUCAACAAUGUUGUCACAACACUGACAACCAAUUGAACAAACAAUCCAGACAUAGGUAUAGAGUACCUGUAGCCUUCGAAGGUUCUUUAGGUAGAAAGUUCAUACAGCGAUGGUCAUUCCAACUGACCGAUCAUAGGAACAAGGGCAACAAAGACCAAAUUAGAUAACCCUCCUAGAUUUCGUAUAAAUCUCAAAGAGUCUUGCAAAGUCAAUUUUCGCAAUCCAAUUUCCUUGAAUUUACCCUUGAGAUUCCAAACAUCCCUACCUCUAGAGACCACACCAAUUAACUUCACCAAACUGUGCAAUAGCUCACCACCCACUCACCUAGUGCAUUGCAUAAUGAAACAUCUCAAUUAGUGCAAGCUAAAACUACUAGAACAUUCCAAUCUAAUCCAAUAUAGCUCGACCAUCGGACAUAAGGCCUGAUCUAGGCGGUCUUGGAAGACUUCGAAAAAAUAGCAAAUAGAGGGAAGCACCAAAUUGACCUUAGCGAAAAGUAUGAGUUAAGCCCAAGAACCUAUGCUCUAGUGGUGAAAAGCCGAAGAGAGGGAACAUGUGACAUUUGACGGCGCCAAAUUUGACCUAGGUUAGAUGGCGACGCUCGGCGACACUAGAUCUAGGCUAGCUACUUUUUUAUUUAUUUAUUUAUAAGAAUUUCUACAAUGGGUGGCAACUCUAAUUCUAGCGAAUAAAGUGGGAGAGAGAAAUUAUGUUUAAUUUUCAAAGUAUCUAGAAAAGAGUACAUGGAGUUUAUACAUGGGCUUGAAUAGAUGGCAAUCUAAUGGAAUUAAAUCGGAGAUGCAUAAUCAAAAUAAUUAAAGGAAAAAUCUUAAAUAUCUUUAGAAGAUACCUAAAUAUCUCCAACAGUUGCCACAAUUGUGAAGAUUCUCUAUGAAAAAGUUCUCUAGUAUUUGUUAAUGAACUUCAGGCAAUUUUUCAACCUCAAAUUCAACAGGUGAAAGACAAUAUUUGGCAGAGAUAUGCACAAUUGGGAGGAUGAGGCACAAGAACAUAGUGCAACUCCAAGGUUGGUGCCAUGAGGGGGAACAACUUCUAUUAGUCUACCAAUACAUGGCCAACGGUAGCCUUGACCGCUUUAUCGGCAAGUUGUCCCUCAAUUGGGAGACUCGAUAUGAGAUUUUGACUGGCAUAGCCUCAGCGCUACUCUACCUCCAUGAAGAAUGUGGGAACCCUGUGGUCCAUCGGGACAUCAAGCCCAAUAACGUCAUGCUAGACGCCAACUACAAUGCCUACUUGGGUGACUUUGGGCUUGCGAAGCUGAUCCAAAGCGACGCCUCAUCGACAACUAUGCUUGCAGGCACCCCUGGGUACCUAGCCCCGGAGGUGGCAUACUUAGGGAAGGCCACACCGGAGUCGGAUGUGUACAGCUUUGGGACGGUGGUCUUGGAGGUGGUGUGCGGGAAGAGGUCAAAGGGGAUCACAGAAGAGAUCAACUUGGUGGAUUAUGUGUGGAGUCUUUACGGAGAAGACUCGCUCCUGGAGUGUGUAGAUGAGCAAAUGGAAGGCCAAUUUGACGAGGAGCAAGUGGAGAGGGCACUGAUAGUGGGCCUUGCUUGCCUGCACCCGUACUCUGCAUGCAGGCCGAGGAUGCGAAAGGUGGUCCAGAUUUUCCUAAACCCGGAUGAGCCACUGAUGGAGUUGCCCAAGUCCCGGCCUAGCAUGGCAUUUGUGCCAGUCUCAUUCUCGGGCUUGACCACCGUUGGCUACUCCUCCACCUCUAGGACCAAGUCUGCCUUCGCUCGCUCACCACUCAGUUCACCACAGGAGAUAGAACUCAAUCAUGAACAGGGGAUGCCGGGGUUGCGUUAAUGGUCUUGACAACUAAAGAUCGUAUCAGAAAAUUUCAAGUGAGAGUCAUACAUGAAUAAGUUUUACUAUGUAUUAUGCUACAAUGUAGUGCAGAAUGGAUACACUUUGAAGCUAGGUGUGUUGUAUUUACAUUCCUCUAUGAAUAUUAUGUUCUUAUGUGAAAUUAAGUUGGAGUCGUUCAAGUCACGCCGCCUCAUUGCAGGAGUUACAUGGAGCAUGCGAAGAAAAAGACCCACUUAAAUCAGGAACGAUUUACAUAUGUCAAUUCAUAUAUUUAUGAAUUUCAAGGCUCAUGGCUCAAUUCACCACCAGAGAUAGAACUCGAUCAUGAACAGGGGAUGUCGGGGUUGCGUUAAUGGUCUCGAGAAUUAACAUUGGAUCAGAAAAUUUCACUCGAUUCAUAUAUGAGUCAUAUAGGAAUGAGUCUUACUCUGUAUUAUGCUAUGAUGUAGUGCAAAAUGGAUACUCUUUGAAGUUAGCUAUACUGUAUUUACAUUCCUCUAUGAAUAUUACAUUCUCACGUGAAAUCGAGUUGGAGUGGGUUGAAGUCAUAUCGCCUCAUUGUAGGAGUUACAUGGAGCAUACGAAGGAAGACCCACUUAAAUCAGGAACAAUUUACAUAUGUCAAUUCCUUUUUUUCUUAAUGAAUUUCAAGACUCAUGGCUCAGUUCACCACCAGAGACAUAACUUGAUCAUGAACAGGGGAUGUCGCAGUUGCAUUAACGGUCUUGAGAAUUAAAUAUUGUAUUGGAAAAUUUCACGCAAUUCAUAUCUAAGUCAAACAGGAAUGAAUUUUACUUUAUAUUAUGCUACGAUGUGGUGUAGAAUGGAUACUCUUUGAUGCUAGCUAUGCUGUAUUUACAUUCCUUUGUGAAUACUACGUUCUUAUGUGAAAUCGAGUUGGAGUGGUUCAAGUAAUGCCGCCUCAUUGCAAGAGUUACAUGGAACAUACGAAGAAGAAGACCCACUUAAAUCAGGAUCGAUGUACAAAGGUCGACUCAUAUAUUUACGACUUUCAAGCCUCAAAUUAAUCCAAUGAAAGAAAAAUAAUGUGUAAAAUGAAAGAGAAUUGUUUCAUUUGCUCACGACUCAAUACACCAUGGGAGAUGGAACUCGAUCAUGAACGAGGAUGCCAGGUUUGCGUUAAUGGUCUCAAGAAUUAUAGAUCGUAUUGGGAAAUUCCACACGGUUCACAUUUGAGUCAUAUAGAAAUGAGUUUUGCUCUCUAUUAUGCUACGAUGUGAUGCAACAUGGACUCUCUGAAGCUGGCUGUGCUGGAUUUACAUUCCUAUGUGAAUAUUACGUUUGUAAGUGAAAUCGAGUUGGAGUGGUUCAAGUCAUACCACCUCAUUGUAGGAGUUACAAGCAUAAGAAAAGGAAGACCUACUUAAAUCAGGAAUGAUUUACGUAUGUCAAUUCAUAUAUUUAUGAAUUUUAAGGCUCAUAUUAAUCCAAUGAAAGAAAAAUAACGUGUAAAAUGAAUGAGAAGCGUUCUGGCGAAAAAAAAAAAGGCAUACCGACGUGCGUCUGUUGGGAGUCGAACCCGCGUCUGUUGGGAGUCGAACACACGUCUAUUGCUUGGAAGGCAAUUAUCCAAACCGUUGGACUACAAUUGCCAACACAAAUGCUUUUGUACUAUAUAAUUUUAUAAAGAUUCUAUCUGUCUCUAUCCUUUUACAUUAAGGCUGCACGACUAACGAACCAUUGGGCCGAUUGGGCUCGAGCAUCGCGGUUGAGAUAAAAGGAGCAGCAGACAUCUAACGAAUGCAAGUGAGCAUUUAAGGCCACACCUGUGCCGACUGACACAUCACAUAAAUGAAUUGGUCUGUCUUCGCCCAAUCUAGAACGAGUUGAAAAGCCGAGAUUCUCAGGUCAGCCUUGGAUACUCCACACUGGAUUGCCAGGUGACAAGCGGCGAGCACUCCUUUUGCGACUGCAUAAGUAGUUCUCCGACUCUACAUUUGAAUCAGGCAUUGGUGGUCUUAUUCAGUGGACGGGCCUCGGCUCACGCCUAACCCUGUUGCGGAGUGCGGGUUUUGACUCCAAAGAUCAAAUGGAGCACGCUAAUCCUGAAUUAUAUCAUGAACUUUAUGCAUCACCGACGUUCAGGAGAAGGAUCGCCGUAUAGUAGUUGGCGAGACUCCUGUGAUCUUGUUGGUGGUACAGCCAAGUUCAGGCCCAUUAUAAAGUGACUCAAACCGAUGUACAUGACAAAAAUCUUCCGUUCGUGCUGCAGUUCACUCUCACUCUGUGGAAAAGCUUAUACAUGCACUCUCCGAAAACGAUCGGGAUGACGUAAGAUGAGUUGAAUCACAGUGAGAUCCUAUACAAAGUCGUCGAUCAAGCUAAGGAUAUCUGGGAUACUGAGUAGCAAUGCAUGCUACUCCAGGGAUCAAGCUCAAGAUUACAAAAAUAAAACCCUUGUUGUCUGGGUUUGCACUCUCAGGAAGAUGGCCUUUGAUCUGUUUCAACGCUCCCGAGAGCUUGAUGGUUGAGAAUGGUUUCUACAUAGGGAGUAGCUGGUGAGUCAUUCUCUCAUCUGAUAUGGGAUUAGCCUGUUAUCAGAAUAGAUCUCGAUCGAGGAUUUAAAGCUUUAACCCCUCAUUCUACACUUCAAGUAAUUCCAUGGAAGCCAUGAGAGUCCUCCUCUCUUUCUGAGCAAGUGCAGAGGCACAGUGGAAGCUAAAAGCUGAUAGUUAAGAAUAAUAAUACGGCAAAAAGGAAUAUGGAAAUUUAUGCAUACUUCGAUGUGUAUUAAUGAAGACUAUAUUGGUCUAUAUUAGAUGAUUAUUCUAAAAUAGUAUCUCAAUCGAGAUGUGCAUAAUCAAAGAGAUAUAUGCAAUCUUGAGAUAUAAGGAUAACUAACAUAGAAUAUUAUUAUAAAAAAAUCCCUAAUUAUCUCUAACAACCCACUCGAUUCUAAGCGAUUGAGACAUGGCAAAUGAGGCGGCAUCCAACCAUCGUUCAUGGCGAAACUUCCUGAUCUAGCUAGUUUGAGGGCAGUAAGUUUGGUGGUGUUUUUGGCUUCUUGACACACAAAAGGUAAGAAUUGGAGGGGAAACAACAAGUGACCGAUAUAGUUAACAAUAACUGAGCGAUGUAGCCUAUACAGCUGGCAUCAUAACGUCAAGUAGCCUAUAUAGCAGGAUUGAGAAAAUAGUUAUUGAGUGAUGCGACCUAUGCAGGUAUAUUGAAAGAAAAAUCACUUCUAUGAAAAACGAUCAGUUAGGCAACACAACCAAUGCGAUUCGAGUCAAAACACAACAAUCAUGAAAUGCACUCAAUUAGAUGUUUUGUUAGAUGAGACUUGUGCAUAUAGAGUGAAACUUGUUGAGCGGUAGGGAUGGAUUUAUUUGGGUUGUAACUAAGGUUCUCAAGGUGCACACCAUGCAUUUAAGGUUUCCUUAAUAUUAGUACUCUGGUACCAAGUCAAGAAUAGUAAAGCGAAAAAGAGGAAUGAAAAAAUUUCUAUGUACUUCAAUAUAUGUUAAUAAAGAAUAUAUUGAUCUAUUUAUAAGUUUUAUUAGAUAUGCACAAUCAAAGGGAGAUAUACAUGCAAUAUACAUGCAGUCUUGAGAGAUACAAAUAAUCAAUAAAAACAUCAUAAUUAUCUCUAACAUAUAAAAUUAUCUUGGAAAAAUCCCUAAAUCUUUCCAAUGCUGUCAUCAUUUUUAGCUGUAGGAGGAUAUUGAAAUAUAUUGGAAAUGCAGUUGUGAUAUGUUUUUAUUUAGGCAGUUGUGAUAUGUUUUUAUUUAUGGCUUUUAUUUAGGCCAUUUACUUAGGAAGUUUUGUGUACAUAUCUUUUUUAUUGUGUUGUCCUUGUAUUUUUGGUAGUUUAGCCUAAUUAGGAUAUUGUUUGAUAGCUGUAUCUUCUUGUAUAUAUGUUGCGUUUCUGUGGUAAUGAACGACAGAAUUCUCAUUCCAAAAUUCCUUAGUUCUUUUACAUGAUAUCAGAGCCAUGGCUGAUGGAAAAAAAAAAGGUGAGGAGAGUUCUGGAAUAGACAAGAAAACCUCUAGCCCUUACACAUUGAAUUCGAAUGACAACCCGGGUAACUUGAUUACCCAAGUUUAGUUUAAGGGCGAGAAUUAUGAAGAAUGGGCGCGAGCUAUGCGGACUGCAUUAUGAGCCAAGAAGAAAUAUGGUUUUAUUGAUGGAUAUGUCAAGCAACCAGCAGAUGAUUCGCUGGAACUUGAAGAUUGGUGGACGGUUAAUUCCAUGUUGGUUUCUUGGGUGUUUAAUACCAUUGAACCGACACUUCGUUCGACUAUCUCUCACUUGGAGAACGUGAAAGAUUUGUGGGAGGAUAUCAAACAGAGAUUCUCAAUUGGGAAUGGUCCAUGGAUGUAGCAACUAAGAUCGAAUUUGGCCAAUUGUAGGCAGGAUGGUCAACCCAUCGUGUCCUAUUUCGGUAAACUCAAAAUCUUGUGGGAUGAAAUAAAUAACUAUGAUCGGAUACAAGUAUGUGUUUGUACAGGUUGCAGAUGCAAUAAAACCAUUGAAUUGGAAAGAAAGCGUGAAGAAGAGAGAGUUCAUCAAUUUUUGAUGGGCUUAGAUGAAGAAAGAUAUGGAACAGUGCGCGCUAAUAUUUUGAGCACUGAACCUUUGCCUAAUCUAAAUCGUGUCUAUGCUAUUGUUGUUCAGCAAGAGCGAGUGCACACUAUGACACGCACUAAGGAUGAAAGAGGCAAUCCCAUGAGUUUUGCAAUCUGAGCAGGUGGUCAAAAUUCAAUGGGGGAUAAAGAUAAAAUCCCGUUUUGUUCUAAUUGCAACCGAGAGGGACAUGAUGCUGAAAGUUGUUUCCAGCUAAUAGGAUAUGCAUAAUGGUGGGGUAAUAGACCACGUGGAACCUCUGCUGGACAAGGUAGUGGUCAAAAGUGUAGUAAUAAAGGUGGACGUAACAAGGGAGGUGGUGCUCGUGCCAACGUCUCACAGGUAACUAGAGUUGAUGGUGGGCGAGGAGUUGUGACGGAUUCAGUUCGAAAGGGUCUUAGUGGAUUGAAUGAUGAGCAGUGGGCAACUUUAUUGGGAAUGUUAAGUUCUCAUCAAAAUGGUGCGCAUGAGAGGCUGAUAGGUAAACAGAGUAUUUUUCCUUGGAUUAUUGACACAGGAACUUCCCACCAUAUGACAAGAAUGUUGGCAUUUUUUAGAGAAUUGCGUGACAUUGUGCCAUGCUUAGUCGAGUUACCUGAUGGAUAAAAAACCAUGGCAAUGAAAGAAGGAACUGUGUUUCUUGGAGGAGACGAGUUCUUUUUGUGCCCAAUUUGAAAUGCAAUCUGAUCUCUGUAUCACAACUACAUAAUGAUUCAAAUUUGGUUAUUCAACUCACUAACAAAAUAUGUGCUAUACAAGACCUAAAUUCGAGGAACCUGAUUGGAGCGGGUGAGCAACGCAAGGGGCUUUACUUUCUCAAGGGAGUGACUUCAGUACAUGCUUGCACGGUGGCUGAUAAGGAAUCCUUUGAGCUUUGGCAUAAAAGAAUGGGUCAUCCUUCUUCUAAGGUGGUGGAGUUAAUUCCAAAAGCUGACAAAAUGGUUAGGAAAACCAAUAAAACUUGUGAGGUUCAAACAAGAGAGAUCUUCUUUUCUAGUGACAAUAAAGCUAAAGAUUGUUUUGAAUUAAUACAUUGUAAUUUGUGGGGACCUUAUAGAGUGCCAACUUCAUGUGGAGCAAUUUAUUUCUUGAAAAUUGUUGAUGAUUACUCUCGUGCUGUGUGGAUAUAUUUGCUUAAUGGAAAAAAUGAAGUGGCUUAUGUUCUUAGGAAGUUUAUUGCGAUGGUUAGAUGCCAAUUUGAGAAAAAUGUGAAAAUUAUUAGAAGUGAUAACUGAAGUGAAUUUUUGUGUUUGAAAGAAUAUUUUGAUGAACAUGGGAUAUUGCAUCAGACUUCUUGUGUUGGAACACCUCAACAAAAUGGCCGAGUGGAAAGAAAGCAUUGCCAUAUUCUUAAUGUUGCAAGAGCUUUGCGUUUCCAAGCAAAUUUACCCAUAGAAUUUUGGGGAGAAUGUUUACUCACAGCUGGGUAUUUGAUUAACAGGACUCCAUCUAUAUUAUUGAAUGGUAAAACCCCAUAUGAGAUUAUUUUUGGCCAACCUCCUUCUUACAAACAUAUUCGGAUUUUUGGUUGUUUGUGCUAUGCGCAUAAUCAGAAUCGGGAUAAAGAUAAAUUUGCUAGUAGAAGUCGUCGAUGUGUUUUUGUUGGUUAUCUGUUGGGAAAGAAGGGGUGGAGAUUGUAUGAUUUAGAAGCUGGUGAAUACUUUGUAUCAAGAGAUGUAGUGUUUGCUGAAACAUAAUUUCCAUAUGCUGAUGAGAAAACAGUAAGUGAUGAACUCAUUAAAAAUAGAGUUAUGGAGUUGGGUGAUGAAGUUGAUGAUUUAAAAAGUGACUUGAGAGAGGAGCAUGUUGAAAGUGUAGAUAGAGAAAAUGAGGUGAAUCAUGAAAUUGAGGAAUCGAUCCACACAAACAAUGAGGAUGUGGAAAGAAGUGAAGUUGUUGAAGCGCAACUAGGUAGGGGACAAAGGGUCAAGCAACCGUCUAUUCGUUUGAAAGAUUAUGUGACAAACGCCAUCAAAAUAAGCCCAUCGACAUGCUCAUCUGCCCAAUCUGAUUCCUUAGGUAUUCCUUAUUCUAUAGUACGUUAUGUGAGUUAUAAAAAAAAUUUCUGCGCAACACCGGUGUUUCUUGGCAGCAAUUACUAUAGGACAUGAACCAAACUCUUAUGCGGAAGCAAUUAAAGAUGAACGGUGGAGAGAGGCCAUGAGUAAAGAAAUACAGGCUUUAAAAGACAAUGGCACAUGGACAGUCGAAAAUUUGCCGCCUAGGAAGAAAGCAAUUGGGAGCAAGUCGGUGUAUAAAUUUAAGUAUAAUUCUGAUGGAAGCAUUGAACGAUACAAGGCGCGGUUGAUGAUACUAGGAAAUAAACAAGUUGAAGGCAUAGAUUAUUAGGAGACUUUUGCUCCUACGGCAAGAAAUGUGCACUGUACGCACAUUUCUUGCCGUUGCGGCUGCAAAGAAUUGGGAACUUCAUCAGAUGGACGUUCAAAAUGCUUUCUUACAUGGCAAUUUAGAGGAAGAGGUUUACAUGAAGAUGCCACCUGGAUUUGCCUCUCAAUCGUCAAGGAAGGUAUGUAGAUUUCAGAAAUCUCUAUACAGUUUGCGGCAAGCACCUAGAUGUUGGUUUGUGAAAUUGGCAACAUCUUUGAAAGCUUAUGGAUUUUGAAAGCUUAUGGAUUUCAGCAAUCAUAUUUAGAUUACUCCUUGUUCACUUUUCGAGUUGGGAUUGCUCAAUUGAAUGUGCUUAUUUAUGUUGAUGAUCUCAUUAUCUCCAGUAAUGAUAUUUCCGCUGUGCAAAAGUUCAAGAACUAUUUAAGUCGUUGUUUUCAUAUGAAAGACUUGGGGAAGCUGAAAUUUUUCUUGGGGAUUGAAGUGGUGAGAAACUCAUAUGGUAUUUUCUUGUGUCAACAUAAGUAUGAGUUGGAUAUGAUAUAUGAGGUCGGAUUGCUGGGUUCCAAGCCGGCUAAAACUCCUCUUGAACAAAAUCACAAGUUGGCCCUUACUGAGAGUGAUGAUGUAGACAACCCUACUCAGUAUAGGCGCCUAGUGGGUCGGCUUAUUUAUCUAACAAUAACUCGACUUGAAUUGUCUUACUGUGUACAUAUUCUUGCAUAAUUCAUGCAUCAGCCAAAGAAAGCUCAUUGGGAGGCAGCUGUGAGAGUUAUGUGUUAUUUGAAAGGAAAUCCAGGUCAAGGUAUUAUGUUGCGUGCCAAUUGUGACCUCAAAUUGUCUGCUUACUGCGAUUCUGACUAGGCUAGUUGUCCUUUGACAAGACGAUCUUUAACCGGUAACUUUGUUCUUUUGGGAGAAUCACCUAUCUCAUGGAAGACUAAGAAGCAACAAACAGUGUCUCGCUCAUCCGCUGAAGCUAAAUACAGGUCUAUGAAUACUAUAGUUUGUGAACUUAAGUGGUUGAAAGGAUUAUUGGAUUUUCUUGGUGUGGAACAUUCUCAACCUAUGCAGCUGUAUUCCAACAGUCGGGCAGCUUUACAUAUAGCUGCCAAUCCUAUUUCUCAUGAGUGUACCAAGCAUAUUGAAGUGGAUUGUCAUUUUAUUCGUAAUGAGAUACUUAAUGGUAACAUUCAAACAUAUUACAUAGGUAGUUCAAUGCAGCUAGCUAAUAUCUUCACGAAGGCGUUGGGAAAGGAUCAAUUUAACUUUCUUCACAAGUUGGGCAUUCGGGAUCUCCAUGCUCCAACUUGAGGGGGGUAUUGAAAUAUAUUGGAAAGGCGAUUGUGAUAUGUUUUUAUUUAGGCCGUUUACUUGGGAAGUUUUGUGUACAUAUCUUUUUUAUUGUGUUGUCCUUGUAUUUUUGGUAGUUUGGCCUAAUUAGGAGAUUGUUUGAUGGCUGUAUCUUCUUGUAUAGAUGUUGCAUUUUUGUGGUAAUGAACGACAAAAUUCUCAUUCCAAAAUUCCUCAAUUCUUUUACAGAGGAAGAGGGUCAAUGGUGGUUUCUAUGGAAACCAUGUGAGUCUUCUCUUUCUGAGUAAAUGCAUGAGCGACUAUGGAAGCUAAAAGCUAAGGGGAUGCAUGACAAUUACCUAUUUUUGUUCCAAAAACAAUUUUUUUUAUUCCAGACUUAUUUCUGGAAUAGAAAUCCGUUUGAUAAACUUAUUCCGUUUUUCUAUUUCUAGAAUAGAUUUCUAUUUCAGAAAUAGGUUUGAUAUAGAAAUCAGAAAUAAAAAUUUUCUACUUCUCUAUUUCCGGAACAGAAAUAAGAAAUAAAAUAAAAAAAAUUCAUUGUUCGUCAACCGGUCCUUCAUUCGUUGCCGCUAAUCACCGUUCGUUGGUCGCCGCCGCCGCCCCUGAUAGCCGCCGCCACCGGCGGUCCGCCGCCGUCCAAAAGGAAGAAAAUUUGUGUCGUUAUCAAACGAAUUUCUAUUUUUAGAGUAUAAAUUUUGUGUCGUUAUCAAACGGUUAUUUUUUCUUAGAAACUCUUCUAGAAAUAGAAAUAGAAAAAUCUAUUUCUAUUCUAUAAACUAUUUCUGGAACAUGAAUUGUUGUCAUGCACGCCCUAAUUAGCUAACAUCUUUUUCACCUGUGAGAGGAAGAGUGUCGAUGUAGGUACCGUGCGACUCGUUGCCCACAGAUCCGUCCGCUUAGUCCCCCAAUGAACGGGUCGCUGGCUGUCCCCCACCGAUCUCAAUCCGCGGUGGGCGUUUCUUCUUGCUGUCUUCCACGAGCGCAUCAUGUGGAAAGGUUAUCUGAAACUGCAAGUUCGAGGAAGAAGGGAGGGGACAACGGAAGAGCCUGAUUCCACUGCUCUGUCUUUGUUUAAUUUCCCGAGCUGAUGCAGAAAAACUGGACAAACCCUCCUCAGGCUCACACGAGUCUACGCAUUUAGCAUCGCCCCUUAAAAGUUUUGCUGGUGGAGGCUUUUGUUUCAAGAUGAAACCUCAUGUUGUAAUCUAGUCAGGUUUUAUAUAUCGCAUGAAAUAGAAAAACUGUUCCUUCUUUAGGGAAAUAAUAGUCGGUCUGCACUCUUGAUUAUGUAAAUAGAUCCGACAAUCAGGGACAAUACAUUGCACUAUCAGUGUCAGCACAGUUGUAGGAUUUGUGAGGAAAUCUGGUUCGAGAAUUUAAAGUUACCUAUGUUGACCCAACCAAUUAUAUGUGACCUGCUCUAAAUCACGAUGUGACUUGACCAGUUCAAGGAGUUUGUGAAGUAUAGUCGGGUCUCUACCCUUGUGCCCCCGUGUAUUAACAAAAAAACUUAAGGAUAUGCUUGUUUUGAUGGAAAUUAACCAGCAAAUAACUUUCCCUCAUUUUCUUGCCAUUUGGCACCUCAUAAACAUUGGUUAAAAAAAUUCUUGGCAACAAAUGAAAAAUUGUAUUAGAGUUUGAGGAAUUGGCUCAUGUUUCUAUCGACUGAACAACAUUGAAUAACAAACUACAUUGACAAUACUGGAAGAUACACUGCAAUCCUUAUACUUGAUUGACAGACAAUUCCAACCAACAAAGGAACAUGAACUUGGUUUAUUGAUUCACUACAAAGUAUGACUACAGUUUGUCAAUAACAUGAAACUAUUGACAUCUAAAUUAUCAAACCAUUUAAGUAUUAAUUGCAUAAAAAAUUAGAGAUUAUUCCUAGCCUCAAAACAAUUUUUUUAAUUAAAUUGUAUAUGAUUAUUAGGAGCAUUUGUAUUAGUAGAAAUUUGAUAAGUCCAUAUAGUUUGCAUUUAAAUUGGAUCAACUGUGGAUAAACUUAAUUAAAUCACAUAGUCUAAGCCCAUGACAAAAUAGAGAGAACGAAGAGAAUAGUUUAUAGCCAAAUCCCCUCUCGGGCACGCUCUCCUUGCUGCACCACCAUUGCACGCCAGACACUAUACCAUUUUCUCCCAACCAUGCUGCAAUCUCCUUCAAAGAAGCAACAGCCUCAAGACCAGCCUUAUUAUUGCCAGUUGGAAAAUAUGUUUUUGAAUUGGAUAGAAUAAUCAAGUCAGACUUCAAGCUGUGAUAUCACUUUCUUUAAAAAUUUCUUUACCCCAUAAUUUGGCUUAUGGUUACAGCAAAUUUUUUCCAAAAUACAACAAAGUCUCGAUUAAGAAUACUAGAUAGCAAUUCUAGUUUUUCUCCAUGAUCUCUUUAGGAAACAAUUAAAAUGAUGAUUGUAGUUUAGAAAAGAUGACUCGAAACUGACUCGAUUCUCACUCAUACCAAAAAGUGGCAUAUGUAUGGUCUUAAAUAACAUAUGCAACUCUUCGAGAAAUAUUGCAAAGUGAACAAAGGCAACUAUUCAGGAAAGAUCGUAAAGUGAACAAAUCCAACCCUCGGAAAAUGUUUCAAACUGAACAAGUAUAAUUUCAAAGGUUACCUUGAAAAUACACAUAUAAAAUUCAAAAUAAAAUAAUUAAAAAUAAUAAUUUUUUUUAAUAAAAUAAAAUUUUGAAUUUCGUAAUUUCUAAAAACAUUGAAUGAACAAAUACAAUCUUUCCACUAAUAAAGGUUAACAAGAUAAUCAUACGAAAUAAAAAUAAAAAUAAAGAGGUUAAUGCUAAUUAAAUGGCGGGAGCGCAAGCGUGCCAAGUGCAUAAUACAUCUAAUAAUUGCACACCCGCAUGCUUGUAGGUUCAAUCCACACCCCAACCUUGUUCUUUGAACACAUUAGAAAAGGCUCUAACCCAUUUCCUCUCAACUUUCAUACGUGGGACAAUGAAAAAUACAUUUUGUUUGUUUUACAAACAAACAAACAAUACUACCUAGCCAAGACGCAACUUCCCUAGCAAUUUGCCCGCCAGCUGCACCACAACCUGUUGAUCGAUCCACCACAUCCUCUGCUGGGCCACGGCGAAGCAGACUUCCCGCGCCAACCUGCACCACGAGUCUGCACUAUCUUGAGCUUGCAUCGAUGCAUCUCCAUCGUGAUCACCUCAAACCAGCCACGAAGUUGCUUGACGAUGAAUCAACCAAUUCCCAUUGCUCCGCCGUCGCCUACACCGUUGGCUUGUCACAAGCCCUACACCCCUGCGACGCCUCCACCUGCUUGUCGAGCCAUACCAGUAGCGCAAACCAAACUUGCUGCCCUCGUCGCGACAAAGCUGUUGUCCCUCACUGCCGGUCCCUGCUAUGAACACUGAUGUCUUGGCCCCAUCGUGAUUUGCCACCGAGAGUUCCCAUCUACAGACGCCCUGCCGCCGACUCCCAUGAUCCACCGUCUUUGGUUUGUUUCAGAAACGAAUAUUCGAAUUAGGUAAUUAUCUGGUCCAAAUUUGAAUUCGAUAUUUUAUUGCCUAAUUUGAUAUUAUUGUGAUCUAACUUGGUUAUUAAGAUUGUGUUAUGAUUCCGAAGUUUGCUUUAUUUCUAGAAUUUUAUUUAUUCAAUGCUUUGUUUAUUGAGUGUCAUUUUAUUAGUUGUGUACCCGCAUGAUCAUCUUUCAUAUAUUAGUGGCUAGGUCACAAGUAUUUUUUGAGAAUAUAGAAAAGAUACUAAAAGGGUGUAAUUAAGUCCAAAAAUCCAUUAAAUCUAUAGUUUGUAAAAGUAAAAUAUGUUCUCAUACUUCACUUCAAUUUAUAAUUGACCCACCAAUAAUAGAUCAAUUGCGUCUCCUUAAUAAAUUAAUUUGCAUGUUAAAAUUGAAUCGAAAGCUGAAAUUAGUAUGGGCUUAGAAGAGCUCCAGCUGUGUGAACUUAGGCCUUGUUUGGUAAUACUCUCGAGAAUAACUGAUUAUGUUUUUUAUUCCUGGGAGAAAAAAAAGAACAAAGAUUCGUUUGAUAAUUUUUUUUGUUUCCAGGAAUAGAUUUGGAACAGAAUUAAGAAGUAGGAAAAAAAUUGUUUUUUGUUCUUAGGAACAAUUCUUAAAAUCAAUUCCAAUUUUUUUCUACUCGUCUCUUUUCUUCUCUUUUCUCUUCCCUUUUCUUCUGGCCUCGACCAUGGCCAGCGACCAGCCAAAUGAGGGCUAAUGACCUCGCUAGAGCGUCAUCGGCCCUCAGCAACGCCAAGCCACGGCGAGGCUUGUUGGCCCAAGCCUCGCCUGGCCACCUCCAAGUCGGCAUUGCCUGGUGGUGGCCCGGUGGGGUUGAGUCUCGCCGAUGGCUAGGUAAGCUCGGGCUCGCCAGAUCUAGAUGAGGUUGAUCUUGCCUAGCCAACGCGAGGUCGAGGCUUGCCGUCACCCAGAUCUAGUGAGGUUGAGGCUCACCUCGGCAAGGCGAGUGUGGCACCCCUCGAACGGCCCCCGAUCCGCUAGGGUCGCCACAGUUCGCUUAUCUUUUUUUUUUCUUUCCCAAAUAACAUGUCACUCUGAUACCAUUUUUAGUUGUAGCGGGUCCAUACAACCAUGGGGGUUUACAUCUUUUAUUAACGGUCCCUUGCGCAAUUUAUAUAACGGAAGCAUAUCCAACAAUUCCCUUCCCUACAUUCAGAAAUCGAUGCACACCUACUAAACAUCUUAUAUAAGUUAAAACCAAACACGUUUAUUUACAUAGAGCAAAUGGACAUCAUUCACCGGUACAUCAAAAUGCCAUAGUUUUCUAUACUAGGCUAUACUUCAAAAGAUGACCGACGUCUCUUCCAAUAGUCAUACCCUUAAAGUCCAUCGAUCAGUGUCGGCGUCCAAAAGUUCCCUCCUUUGCUAUCCUUCUCCUCGCGGUCAUAUCCAACCGCUCAAUCCAUCUACUAAUCUAAAAUGUUGGUCCCCAAAAGGGGUGAGUACAACCGCUCAAUAGAUAAGGAAUCCAAUAACAACUCAAUGCAUCAUGCAAAUCAUACAUGCAUUGCAAGCGUAACUUACCUUGCAGCCAUGCGCAAUACUAUCAUGCAUCAUCAUGCCUUAUCAUCAUGCAUAUCAUAUCAUCAUAUGUCAUCAUUAUAAUCAUCAUCAUGGCAUCAUUAUAUCAUACAUGUCAUCCUUAUCAUGACAUCAUGACAUCACAUAUCAUCAUCAUCAUCAUGCAUAUCAUCAUGCAUAUCAUACCAUGGGUGAUCAUCAUAUCACAUCACAUAUCAUCACCAUCAUCAUGCAUAUCAUCAUGCAUAUCACACCAUGGGUGAUCAUCAUAUCACAUCACAUAUCAUCAUCAUCAUCAUCAUCAUGCACAUCAUCAUGCAUAUCAUACCAUGGGUGAUCAUCAUAUCACAUCACAUAACAUCAUCAUCAUCAUGCAUAUCAUCAUGCAUACCAUACUGUGGGUGAUCAUCAUAUCACAUCACAUAUCAUCAUCAUCAUCAUGCAUAUCAUCAUGCAUAUCAUACCGUGGGUGAUCAUCAUAUCACAUCACAUAACAUCAUCAUCAUCAUGCAUAUCAUCAUGCAUACCAUACCGUGGGUUAAUUUUCAUAUUUAUCUUUAAAUUUGAUCACCACAUCACCCUUCCUCAAUUCAUCAAUUUCAUCUAAUAUUUUACACUCGCAUCCCAUGCGAGAAAAACCUCCGGGCAUGUAUCCAAGAUACAACCGGGCAUCCGGCCCCUCACAUUCCGGGCAUCUCGCAUCCCAACUAGCAUCACGAGGAACCUCCGGGCAUGUAUCCAAGAUACAACCGGACAUCUGGCCUUUACCCUUCUAGCCAGGCAUUUCGCACCCAAAUCCUGGCAUCGCGAGGCAUUCCCUUUGGGCAAAGACCUCCGAUAGGGCUUCCGGAAUUAUGUACCGACAUACCACUAGAUCUCCCCUGGAAUUACGUACCGUAUACCACCGGGCAUCCCGACACUCCCGGGGAAAUCCGGCAAUGUAUCUCUAUACAUUCCGGCCAUCAUCCUCCACCACAACCAUUUCCUCAUUUCCCAUCAUCCACAUUGCCAAUAUUUUAAUCUCAAAUUAACAUGGCAUAUGGUGUGACAUCACACAAGUCAUACUUGGCAUAGGAUUCACACAUGCAAUCUCAGCUCAAUGUCAUACAUAUACCAAGACUUUAUCAUAUGCAUCUCGAUUCAAUGUCAUACAUACCCAAGACUUUAUCAUACAUGCAACAAGAUAAAUUUAAUGGAAUUUAUGGCCAAUAAAAUAAUCCCCUUUUAUCUUAUUAUUAUUAUUUUAUUUUUAUUUUUAUUUAAUUUUAUUAUCAUAUUUAUUUAUUUUCAUAAAUAAAUAUUAAAUUCAAUAUCUAUGAUUUCCCAAAAUCAUAAUAUUCAAACAAUCAUUAAACAAACCAAUAGGAUGACAAUUUCAUGCAAAAUUCAUGGCCAAAUUGAAUUUCACACAAUUUCACAAUUUCCACAAAAUAGCACAUGAUAUUCGGAUAAUAACCAGAAUGCACAGUUUCCAAAUAAAUUCGAUUAAAAUAUUCAUACGGCCUCCAAAAAUUACGAAAUUUUACAGAGUGAUAGCCCAGACAUUUUCGUGCAACUUUCAUGAAGACUUCCAAGCCAGAUUAAUUUUAUAUUAUAUUAUACAACCUGACGAAGCUUCUGGAUCCAUUACCGCAUCGUCCAGUGUACACAUCACCGAAAUAUUGAGAUUUCACCUACCUAUUCUCUUUCGUUUUCUUUUAAAUUUGGAUAUGUUAUACAUCAAGAUGUUUUCUACAAGUUUCAUAAAGAAAUAUAAGUCAAAUAACCAGAAUAUAGUCAUCAUUUAGGUCCUUGAAGUCUCGGGUAUCUCGGAAUACAUCACCAGAAUCACCGUCUACAAGAUCUAGUCGAUUUACUAAGAUAUACUUGUUCAUUUCACUUCAAAUCUGAGUAUAUUGUAAUUUAAUAUGUUCCCUACAACUUUCAUGAAGAGAUCGAAGAGAUAUUUUCAUCACAAACCAACAUGCAACCACGAAUCCAACAAGAGGUCAGUAAAAACUUUCCAGAUCUGAGGUCUCCGUAAGAUGAGACUUUAACCCCUCAAAUCUCCAUAAUUUUCCACGAAAUUUUAGUAUGUUGUAUUUCAAGACGUUAGCUACAACUCUCAUGAAGAAAUCGAAGCCACAAUCGGACUCCAAACACACAUGCAAGCUCAAACAAGUUUCUGACUCACACGGUCCGAGCAAGAACAGUCACACUCUUCACACACGACUCAUCCAUGCUUCGGUUUUUCUCAUCUAACAUCCAAAAAUUCGACAUGCAAACAUCAUACAAGCAUGCAAGAGAAGCUAGAGGACUCCCACUUGCCUCUAGACCAAAGAAAACGACGGCGUAGGGCGGCGAACACGGCAGCACACAGCGGCUCCUCCUCCUCCUUUCUCUCUCGGCUGCUCCCUCUCUCUCUCGCAUCUCACUCUCUCGGCUCACUCUCUUGGCCGAACAAGCCACUCUCUCUCUCUCCCUUUCUCUCUCUCUUUCUUUUUAGUGGCUUUUAUAUCGCAUGUGGCCGCCCAAGAUGGCCAAUGGGGGUAGCCACACCUUGCACAACCCCCAUGCCACUUGGCAGCUCGCAUGCAAGGCUUGUGGGCUUGGAUUGGGCCGGCAAAUGGGCUGGUCGACCACUCCUUUUGGGCCUCUAUUGGGCCGGCCAUCUUGGCCCAUUAAAGGCUUAGGCCAAUGGGCCUAAGGCCCAACCUAAAAAUUGACCUUUUCCCCCCCUUUUUUUUGAAUUCUUCUAUAAAUAUUUUUAAAUUUCAAUUUUCAUCUUGGCCAAAGUCUUGGGACAUUUUUGCUCAUUGAAAUUUAGUUUAUAAAUCAUAUGGCCAAGCAUAGAUUAUCAAUCUAUCAAAUUUAAAUUCUUACAAUCAUAUGCAUAAUUCAUCUAAAUAAAAAGACUAAUGGCUAAAGCAUAGGCCAUGGAAAUUUAUCACCUAAAUUAAAGACUUUAACACACCUUAUGGCUUGGCUUUGAAUUUCGGGAUGCUACAGCGAGCCUCUAGGAGAUUCACCAGACCUUGCCCAACCGAUUGCUAUUCACGAUGGUGGCUAGUGACUAGCAACAAAGAAGGAGAAAGAAGAAGAGAAAAAGAAAAAGAAAGCAAAAAGAAAAAGGAAAAAGAGAAAAAUAAAAGAUAUAUAUACAUAUAAUAAAAGUGUUAAAAAUUAAAAGAAACAAAAAAGUAUAAAAAUAAUACCAAACGCAUUUCUAUUAUGAGAAUAAAAUUUUGAACAGUUACCAAACGAGUUUUUUUACUCACAAAUUGUUCUCGAGAAUAGAAUCAGAAAAAAUCAUUUUUGAUAAAAAAAAAUUAUUCUAAGGAACAGAAUCGUUAUCAAACGCGCCCUUAGUAACCCAUUAACUAUCUCUUGGAUGGUUCAUCGAAGAGAAGGUCGUGACUAGAAACCUCAAACUACAAGAGCAAAGGUAAUCGUGCAAGGAAAAAUAUGCAAAUAAAUUGACUGAAAGUAAACAAAAAAUAUCUUGAGUCAAGAAAAAAAAUAACAAUAUUUUCUGAUGUUCAAUUGAAAUCUAAAAAUGAAAUGGAAAAUAUUUUCUGCUGUUCAAUAAAGAAAAUGUUUUCCUUCAUGUAUUCCUUUUCAAUAAAUUUUUUUAUUAUUUUAUUUUUAAAUCAAUUUUUAAGUUUUUCUUUUCUUUUCUCUCUCUUUUUUCUUCUUCUUCCUCGGCCACGAUGAUUGGUCACAGGCUAGCUCAAGUCUCACUACAGGUCAACAAAGCUCCUCGCCUAAGGCUAGCAGGCUCUAGCCUCACUAGAUCUAGCAAGAUAGGUGAGGCUUGAGCCUUGCUAGCUUGCUGGAUCUAGCAAGGCUCGAGCUUGCUCAAGGUUGUCAGGCUCACCUUGGUGAGGAGAGGCUCGACCUCAUUGGAAUCUAGUGAGCUCAAGCCUUGUCGGCUUGUGGCGAGGCUGGAGCUCGCCCGUGGUUGGUCGCUGGCUGUUGUGGCUUCAACUAGCCACGGUUGGCAACUAGUCAAAGAAGAAGAAAAAAAAAAAAAUUUAAAUGAAUUUUUUUAAAAAAAUAAAAUAAAUAUAAAAGGCAAAGGUGUUGAGUGAAAAAAAAAAACCUAGGUUUAGAAGUAAAGAAAGAGGAUGGCCAAUGUUUUCCACUUUCUAAAAAGUGAAAAAUAUUUUCCCAUAUUUUAGAAAAAAAUUGUUGGUGGAAAAUGCUUACCAGUUUAUAUUCUGUUAAACAAAUGCCGAAAAAUCCUAAAAACAUUUUCCAAAAGAUUAUUUUUUACGAAACAAUUGAAUUCUUAAUUAGACCGUUUUAGACCCGAUCGGAGUGAAUGGCAAGAUGGGCUGUCUUGGACAAGCGAAAAUGUUCUCAGACUUUAUUUGACCCGCUUUGGCCCGCCCAACCUUGAUCAAAUUUAUAUGAAAUAAUUAAUACUCUCUGUAUGGAGUGAUUUUAGGUUUGACUUACCCAUUGAUGAAAUCCUCUCAAUUUGCAAAGGUAAUAUUACUCAUUAUAGAAAAGAAGGGUGCCAAGAUAUGUAAUAUGAGUUUAUUGAUUUUAUCUAAUGUGAAAUAUUAUGAGUCCCAAAAAUCUUUUCUAAUCGGUUUAUUGAGUAAUCAAAUUUUAAGAACUACAAAAUCUAAAAAGUCAAAAUAAAACAUGUCUUAGGUAAUAUUACAGCGCCUAUCGAAAUAGAGGAAUGGGAGAACUGUUAAUCCAGGAGCUGGAUUUUCUAGGGAUCACGAAUUUGACAGCGGGCGGGAGCGAGAGUGGUCAUAAUUGGCGGAACAGAGUCAAGUCGAAUCUCUUUUCACAUGAUAACAACCACCACCCUUUGUAAAAGCCCUAAGGUCAAACCCCUCUUUUUAUUUUAUUUUUAUUUGGCAAAUAUUUAUUUUUGUUUUGUUUUAGGUCUACUAUUGAUGAAUUAUAAAAUAUUGCAUUUAAAGGGCUUCCUAAAACAUACCAACCAAUCUAAAUGGAAAAUUUUAAAAAGUUACAAGGAAUUAGAAGAAGACUUUUCCAUUUCCUCACUAGCCAUUACUCCGUGCACCAGAUGCAUGUGAGUCUAAUGUUCUAUAAUUGAUGAUAAGUCUUGCAUGACCGAACCCAGCAUGACCGUUGAUCACAUAGAUCUCGGUCGAAGCUAUCAAUCCAAAUUUAGGCAAGAAUUUCUCCCCAGAUGGACCUAUCGAGAUUAAAAUUGAUGCCACAUUGGGCUCACGAGGCAUUUUUGUUUCUAGGAAAAAGUUUUCUAAUCAUUCACUUUCGGCAAAAUAAACGCAUCCUUAGACUUUAUUUAUUUCCCAAAAAUUAAAUAAUUCAAAAAAUAUUUUUCUAAAAAUGAUCGUUUUUAUCACUUAAUAUAAUAAUUCAAUGAAAAAUACUUUCAUUAUUGACACAAUAUAUGUCUGAAGAUUGUUGUGGAUGAUGAAAAUAUUUUUAUUUCAUAUAUUUUUAUAAGUGAUAUGGACAAUUAUUUUUUAGAAAAAUAUUUCUUCGGAUAAUUUAUUUUUUGCUAAGUAAAUGGAGUCUCAGCUCUCAAAUUCCCAUGAUUUUGUUGACAUUUUUUUAUUGUUGUAUUGAUCCAACGAAAAUGUGGGCGGGCGAUGGCGAUCGCCACUAUGGGUGGGUGCCCGUGUAUCAACGUCACCGGCAUUCAGUGUGGGACCGGCCAUGGAAUUAGGUUCGGGUAUUCAACUCAACUGAAAAUAGUGCGAGGAUCAAGACAUGGGAGGUUGGUUGGUAUAAAUUAAUUUUCACAAACUAAUAACAAAAUUAGGCAAAUAUCCAAAUUCAUGUUUGCAUUAAUAUAUUUUACAGUGAAUUCAUCAUCUUUAUUUUAUUUUAUUGCAUGUAGAGUGAAUCUAGUUAUGUUAGCAGUAUCGAUUUUCAAAAUUGCUACUAUUUCCUACCCUCGUAAUCUGAUAAUAAUUGACCAGGACUAUUGUGAUGAUCAAUAGUAUUGUUGUAAGGUGAAAAACUAUGUUUCUAGUUAAUGCUUGCAUGGCUUAUUAGGGAUUUUUUAAAUUGCUAAUGUGUGCUCAUAUUGCUGCAAUCAUAAAUCUAUGUAUAAAAUGCAUUGAAGCAAUAGAACUUGUAAUUCCCAUGGUGUCUCAUUCAAACUGCGAUUGUAGAUAAUGUUAUCGAUAGUAAAGGUAAACAAUGUGAUGUAUCGAAACGUGAGAGAGACUUCGAGGAAUGAGCCAUCGAUCACGUUGCAUUGCACUGGAGGGGAUGGGUUGCAUGGACAUCAUGACGAAGCACAUCAACCUCGACUCUUCGGAACCCAAGAAGAGGAGCUACGCCGAUUGCAAGAAUGUUGUCAAUGCGCGUUUCACUUCCAUUGAUCCUCCCAUUUCUUGCCACACUCCAUAAGGUUAAUUGUUGUAGCCGACAACACUCAUGCAAUAAGUUAAUCGAGGUAGUUUUCUUUUCUUGACCAAUGAUCAAGAUAGAUCAUAUCGUUAGUUUAAUCACACUUACAUACGCCUGGUGGUCAAGAUAAUUUGUGCAAGUUUUGUAAUUCAUGGGAGGGCCCAAAAAGUGUUAGAAUUGACGUUCGGAUGAAAUUAUUUUCAUGUCUCCUUUUACUUUAUGUCACACCAUUUUGAGUCCUUUUUAUAAGUACAUUUGUUUUGUCGUCUUUUACUUUUUUGGUGGAACAGAACCAUAGCAUUAAUAUAAACACAGGUACAUAAAGAAAGAGCUCUCCAAGCAAGGUUGUCGGCAAUGCUAUCGUUGUAAAAAUGGAUAGUAUUGACAUCUGAAUUUUUUUGGCCGAUGCACUAAAUUUUUUUUUAUUUCUUUGGUAAGAUGCACUGAAAUUUUUUUGUUAAUUAUGAAUGUUAACAAAGACUCCGGUCAACUCAACUUGACCCGGGAUUCACCCUGCCCAUUAGGCCCGGACCGAUAUGACUUGAUCCAAUCCGGGAAUAAAAGCGUGCCUCUCUCUUUGGCCAAAGUUCCUAUACCACAUGGACUCACGUUCCCGUGAGUCAAUGUUCUCACUAUUCACAAUGAUCGCUUGGGCGUCUUUUUCUUUUGGUCAAGCAGUGCAAGGUUGAAAACCCCAGCGAAGACAAAGGCGUCUCUUUCACACUCGAACGUCUUCUUGCGUUCACUGUAGGGCAGUUGGAAAAAUGGGGAUGUCUUCGGAUUUAAAGAUGUUUCACGUUCGAAAGGAGAAAAGGACAGCACAAGGAAAAUAGGUCUUAUUUUAUUCCAAGGUAUCUUAGAAGGAGAAGGAGAACACGGUUUUCCCUAGGCGAAUUUUCCCUAUCCUUAUCUUGGUCGCUCUUCGUUAGCCAGCAGUAACUACCAGUCCGCCAUUGCCGGCCACUGACGAGCCUCCUUCUUAAAAAAGAACAAAAGCAGAGGGCAUGGACUGAGGAGAUUUGCGGCCUUUUUCGGGCGUCCAGAAGUCCCUCCCUCGAGGAUUCUCUCCGAGCCAUUUCUUUCCUUUUCUUUGCCAAUCCUCGCCGUCGUAGGGUCGCCGUGUCAUCAUUGUUGGUUCAGCAAGCGCAGUAAACCCUGUCUUGCCCCUGUUUUUGGGCUGUCAGAUCCGAAGCAACUCGUACGUGUUUGAAGCUUCAUGGCCGGCGUGCACUCUCAUCGGCAAUACUUUUCAAACCUGUAAACUUGACCAGCAACCGCAACCGAGAUCUCCUCCUUGGCAAGGUAAUGUUGAACCCUCUGCCUUUCCCUGUCAUGAGUGGAACGCCGAGACUCGGUUUCUUCCGUUCAUGCUCGUGUCGGAUCUGAAUAGGUUGGGUGUGUUGAUUUUCGAACAUUUCUGAGAGACUUCUUUCGAGCCUGGAUGGGAGUUCAAGUCUUGAAACGGUUAAGUACUUUUUUCCUGAAUCCACGUUCAUAACCUGUCUUACAAAAUGUCUAUAGGAGCGUGUUCGAUAUCGUUUCUAUUUUAGGAAUAAUUUUUUUAAUUUUUAUUCUCGAAAAUAAAGAUGUAGAUGUUUUUUACUUCUUUUUGUUUCAAAUUUAUACUAUUUUUUAUUCAAAAAAAGAAGUUAUUUGAUGUUAUCAAAUUUAUUUGUGUUCCAAAGAACAAACAAAUAAAAAUAAAAUAGAAAAAUAAAAUGUUACCAAACAUGUCAUAACAAUCUAGUGCAAGUUAGUUUCCUUUUCUUUUGUUUAACUCGAGAGCGUAUUGCCCUGGAUUAAGUCACCUUAAUUGUUUUUCAAAGUCUUUCCAAUGAAAGAACUCGUUUUUUUCUCCAUCAUCUGUUUUUCUCGUGUUCUAUGCUCGUGAGGUCACCAAUGGCGAUCAUCGGUGAGUUGAUGACGUUGUAUCCGCGGAUGUGUUUGACCAUCAUGUGUGCAUCUAAACCGGUUUUGCUUACGAUGUGCCUUUAUCUGCUUCCCUAACCAUGUCGUUUAUGUGUGAACGUGGUUGAUGAUAAAUGUGGGUAUUGAUGGCCGGUGGUCUGAGGGGAGAGUAAUCGGUAAAUUUGGUGGUGGUGGGUGAGCAAAGGCGAUGCUCAGUUUAAAGCUUUGGAGGUGUAAAUCAUGGAUGGAACCCUGUUUCUUUUCGAGGUGAUGCUAGCGGACAACCGUCGGAGGAUUGCAACAAAAACUUUCUUUCUCCAACACGAGUGCAUGGAAAUUGCCAAGUAAAACUCAGAGCUUUCUCCCUUUCAUGGAAAAUGAAUGGUUGAGGGCUCACCGUCUAUUUUCCAAAAACUUUCGUUCUCCAACAAGUGCGUGAAAUUGCCAAGCAAAACACACAGCUUUCUCCCUCUUAUGGAAAAUGUACGGUUGAGGGUCCAGCCUCUAUUUUCCAAGCUAACGGUACUAUUAGCAAAUCAAUUCCCUCUUGUCGUUUAUUGUAAAGGGUCCCUUCUUUCUGUACUCGCUCAAAGGCGAUUUAUUGUAAAGGGAAUUUGAUUGGCCAGUUGUACUGUUAGCUUGGAAAACAUAUGGCGAACCCUCAGCCAUAUAUUUUUCAUGAGAGGGAGAAAAAUUUGUAUUUUGCUUGGCAAUUUUCACGGGAAAAGAUUGUCAGAUGGUCACAUCACCAAGCUAGCAUCACCCUUUUGUAAAAUAACACGGGGUGGAGUUCUGGAAAUGGGAAGUGAGCGUGGAAGACGACGAGAACACAAGGAAGAGGAGACUGGGUUUAGUGUAGGUCGGCUUAAGUGAGAUUUUUGGGCUUAAAUUCUUUUGAUAUAUUUGGGCUUAGUUGUUCUAGUUAUGAUUGGGUUGGUGAUUUUCGGGUUUGGGAAUUGGCUUGAUGGAUCCAGGCUUAUAGUGGGCUUGACGCUUCUCUUUAGUAAAAAUGGGCUUACGUUCUGGUAGGUUCAAAUGGGUCUAGUUGAUUUGGGCCUAAUCCCUGUCUGGUAAAUAGGGGCUUGGUUUAUUUCUAGAGGAAAUUGGGCUUUUGAAUUUCUACUGGAGAGAGGCUUAACUCGCAGCCCUUUUGCCUGCGGCGGCCCGUGUCCAUGUGAAGCCCAUGCCUAAUCCCACACGCGGGUAAUAAUUUUUUAAGAAAGGGAAAAAAAUUCGAAAAAAAAAAUCCGAAAAUGGCUAGGAAUAGAAGCCUUGAUUAGGUUGUUAAAUCUUAGUGAUAUAUUUAGCUUACUUUCGGUUGGAUAACAUAACUCUUAAUUUUUCGAGUUUUAGUAGUUACUUUUGAUAUAGCUUAGACUUGGAUAGAUCAAUCUUUUAAGUAACAACUUCAACCCAAUUUGAACUUAACUCAUGGGACUUCUAUCAUGGGCCUUAAUAACAGAGCUAUGUGUAUUUUGUAAUUGGUGCUUCAUUGAGUGUACUUUCGGAUGCUUUAUCCUUAUUGCAUUGAUUAUGAUUGUCUACUUGUCUUUGAUUGUGCACUCAUGCAUGGAUAACAUUUAGAGGCAUAGGUUAAUUAAAAAUGGUCAAAGAUUGCUUGAAUUAUUUAGGUAACAAACCAAUCAAGUUAAGAGUACCAAAAGAGCACUAGUUAAACAAUUAGUGUAAUUAAGUCUUGCUCUUAAAUCUCUAAUUGCAUAAGAAGUAAAGUAUCCUCAUAUGCUUCACUUGACUUCCAGUCGACCUCAUAGACUAGUGGUGACUCCUAUUACGGAUAGAUCAAUUUCAAUUGUUGUUUCCUAAUGUCAAGUGAUUUAACAAUUUGGGAAAAUCCAUGCUUAUUGAAGAUUGUUGGUCCUAAACUCAACAUUACCUCCAAACCUAUCAUCUCCUUGACAUCAAUAGAUAGUGCUGGAAUUGUAAGCUUCUUUUCUUUUUUGGUUUAUGCUAGUAUUUCAGACUUACUUUGUAGAAUUGUUAAAAAAAAUCUUGUCAGAUGAUUGGAUAUUACUUGGUAAAUCAUUCUUAUUACUAAGUUUUAGUAUCUCUAGCUAGCAGUACACUAUAUAAAAUUUGAGUAAUUAGACAGUGAUGUCUUCUAUUAAUAUAUUAAUAGUCACAUAAGCAAAAAUUGAAACGACGAUUAAUGUCUAAAAACUCAUGAGUACGAUAACCAAUGAAAAUAUUUGUCGUAAUCCCUAACUUAUAUGGAAAAAGAUAAACAAGGGAAAUGCACAAAAUGAAAAUUGAGAUGAACUAUGAUAUCAUAUUAUAAAGGAAGCAUGCCAGAUACCCUUCUCAUUUUUUCACCUUUUCGCUCUAUUACAAUUUUCUCUCCUUUAUUUUUUUAAGGGGAUAAGUGCACUAGAAUUCUCAAAACUUUUUAAAAAGUGCAAUUAAGUUCUUAAAAUCUUAUCAAAUUGAUGCAAUCAAGUCGUUCCAUUAAUUCUUCUUAUAUUUCUUAUUCAAAAGCUCCAUCCUACUUGGCUAAUGUAAAAUGUUUAUUGCUAUUUUUUUCUCUCCUAUGUAACUAGACGUUACUAAAACAUGAAACAUGAAGCUAAAAUGACAUUGUUUUUAUCCAAAUCUUUCUUUUUCAAACCAAAUUUGAGUUAAAUUAGAUUAAUAAUAAAAAAAAGGCUUUUUAAAAAAAAAUAACACAAAACAAAUUGACCGUAGUCACUAUCAUUCCACCAUUACUGAAAAUGGCUGGCAAUGGUGGGGUGAUGCCCGAUUGCUCAGGUCUCUAGCUAACAGCCACUAGUUCCUACGUCAUUAGUCCUCACCUAAGGUUGCAAGGUACCAUUCUUUUUUUCUCUCUCUCCUUUUAUGAGUCCUAUUUUUUUAAAAAUGUAAGCUUUUAUUUAAAAUUUGGCUAAAAAAGAAUUAGAUUUAGACCAAAAUGAUAUUGUUGUAAGUAUUAUGUUUUUUGUUUAGUGAUGUCAACAUCACGUAGUAUAGAGAAAAUAUUAAACAAGUCAUUUUUUUUUCAUUAGUCAAGUUGGAUAGAGUUAAUGACAAGACUAGAUUACUUUAAUUUAUAAAUCUUCUAACUUAAUUGCACUUUUGAAAAUUUUAAGACUCAAUUGCAUUUUGGCGAUAAAUUUUAGAAUUUCAAGUAUAUUUAUCCUUUUUUUAAAAUAUUGUUCCACUUCUUAUUAAAUAAAUUAUCCAAAGAACCAAAUCAAUCUCUCGUACAAAAAAUUAUCAACCUAGAUCUAAUAUUACCAACCACAAACUCAUAACAAAUCUCCAAAGUCCAAUCUUCUGCACCCACCAACACUUACACCCGUCGAUCAUGGCUACCUAUCACAAGCACCGUAGCUUUGCUCUCUGGUGCAAGCCCAUCGUCUCUCUCUCUCUCUCUCUCUCUCUCUCUCUCUCUCUCUUGCAAGGACCAUGAAAGGGCAUGGCGACCUCAUGUCUUAGGGUGAUGGAGGCCGUGGAGACAGACGACGGUCGGAGGUUGUUGGGGUUGGACGGGAGUUGGGGAAAUCGGAAUUUGUGCUAAGGAAUGAAAAAUGGUUGUAAGUCUAGUCUAUCAACCGAUAUGAGGUAUAUGGUUAGGUACAUAAAACUUAUGGUACAAACUCUUAUUUCAAUACAAAGCGUAUUCUCUAAGCUUUGUAGUCAUUACGCCAAAGUGGUCAAUUGCGCAAUGGAGUGAAACAUGUCAUUUUCCAACGUGCAUGGACGCAUUAUGCUUUGACUAGGAAAAUAAAAAUCACAAUUGUUCUUUUGGGCUUUUGCUUCUGCUGCAUCCACUUAAAUCAAAUUGUCGACACCAGUACACUUGAAGUGCCAAAAACUUGGCAUGGAAGAAAAUUUAAGUACCAAAAAUUAUGAAAGUGAUACUUAAGUGCCAAAAUCGGAGUAAAAUGGAUUAGUUAAGGCCAACGAUGAGAAAAUUUGGCCAAAAUGCUAACGUAGUGAUUUUUCGACGAAAUAAGUGCAAAAUGACGUCAUUUUGCACAUUGUUGUCGUUAGAUAAGUACAAAAAUGACGUUGUUUUGUUGCUGACGUGGAUAAAUAAGUAAUAUAAAAAUUAGUUAAAUCAAAUUUAAAAUCAAAUAAUAAAAAAGAAAGAGGAGAUUAUGAAUAGUGGCUAAUGGCGCCGCCAGCUCUCUACCGUCACUGGGAAGGGCCAACGAUGGUGGGGGUUGCUAGGCCUUUGCUAGGGGUCGGCGACCCAUCUGACCAACGAUGAGGGCCUGCAAGCCCUUGCUUAGAUCUAGGGUGAGGGUCUUGGCCCUCGCCGCUAGUUUGCCGAGGUGGCCAACCCUCCCUCCAUCGUUGCCGACCCUUCUCGGUGACGACGGGGAGGUGGUGACAACGAGGGCUGAGCCCUCAACCGCUAUUUGUCUUCUUCCUUUUUUAAAAUGAUUUUAAAUUUAAUUUAAUUAAUUUUUAAAUUCAAAUUCAAAUCAAAGCCAAAAUGAUGUCGUUUUUUUUUUUUUUUGCUAAGUUAGCUCUCUGUCGAGCCACGUAAGUGAGCAAAAUUAAUAAAAAAAUUAUCACAUAAGAUUUCUAGCGGCAUUCACUGAAGGUGGCACUUAAAUGUUCCAUUUUUGUUUAAAAAAAAAGUACACAAAUGUCACUUUCCUAACUUUUGGCAUUUAAGUGUCCCUUGUGCUAAGUGUUGGCAUUUAGAGUGUUCUUUUGCCUCGAAUUGCCUCUUUACCAUAGCACUCAUAACUUAGCUUGCACCACCAUCUCUUGAUUUGUGUCACCAUCCAACACAAAAAAUUAUUCAUUAACAAUGCCUCAUCUGGUGUUGCAGGCUCUCUCGUGUCCAAACCAUGCUACUUCCAAUCCUACUCUCACUCUUCCUUGGUUCUCAGGAAGCUUAUUCUUCAACUUCCUCUUCAAGUCUUGAGCCUACAAGUUUCUUUUUCCCUUCUUUCAACCUUGGCUCCUGCACUAGUAAAGAGCUCAUUUGCAUGGGCUCCGUAAGCUCGCGAGAUGGGUAUUUGAACAUCACACCGGAGCGGGGUAAUUCAACCCUUACUCCGAUGCCGAUAAACCAGGUAGGACGGGUUCUUUAUUCCCAGCCAGUGGUUGCUUGGCCUGCCAUGAUCUCCACCACAUUCACUAUCAGGAUCACCCCACCGCUGAAUUCCACAAUCUCUGGCGACGGGAUGGCUUUCCUUUUUGCACAGGACGAUAGCCCCUCACCGCCUAACAGUACCGGCUCAUACAUGGGGAUUCUUGAUCGGUCUACUCAAGGUACUUCCACCCAAUCUUUUGUUAGAUGAAUACGAAAUAUGUGGUACUUUGCUAUAGAAUGUUGAUCAAAAAAUGAUUUCUUUUCAACUAAUAUUUAGGUGGCGUUGUUCGACAACUAGCCGUGGAGAUGGACACUUACAUGAACGAGUUUGAUAUUGAUGGGAACCACGUAGGCAUAGACACAACGAGCACUACUAACUCAGUCAUUGCCCAGAGCCUAACGAGCAUAGGAGUGAACCUAAGAAGUGGAAGGGACAUUAGAGUCAAAAUUGAAUAUGAUGGCUAUAAAAAUAAAUUCCAAAUCUCAAUAGCAUAUUCUGGGAAUUCGCUAACAAGCGUUCUCAAUUAUUCGAUCAAAAUGUCAGAAACGGUCCCUAGGCUCAUGUACGUGGGCUUUUCGGGAGGCACUGGUCCUCUUCCCGAAAGCCACCAGGUGAUUAACUGGGCAUUCAGCUCUUUUCCUUUAUCUACGGAGGAUAAGCGGCUCAAGAGAGACAACAGGAUCAAAACCAUACUGGUUCUAGUCGUGCCAAGCGUGAUGACGGUAUUGUUCAUUAUUAUAUGCGUCUACCUUGUUAAGAGAGCACCAAGGAAGAAAGACAAGAAGGACGCCGACAUAGAGAGCCAAUCAAGGGAGGCAGCAAACGUUCCAAAGAUGUUCACCUACAAGGAGCUAGCAAAGGCCACUCGCAACUUCAGCAAGGACAACUUGCUCGGCACUGGCGGUUUUGGAAGUGUUUACAAAGGGGUGAUCUCAGAUCCUCCGAUCGAAAUAGCCGUGAAAAGGAUCUCAGCAACCUCGAAACAAGGUUUGUUUCUUUACUUGUAUCAUGUCCUUUUAGUACAUUUUUCUUGAACAUGGUCCCCUAGAUAAGGUCUCAACAUUACAGAAACAUAGUGCUGAAGCAAUUUUGCACAUUUUGCUUUCGUUUAUAUUCAUUAC